GAAAAUCUCGUAAGGGUAUACGGUGGAUGCCUUGACUCAAGAAGACGAUGAAGGACGUAGCAGCCUGCGAUAAGCUGCGGUGAGGUGGCAAGCAACCUUUGACCCGCAGAUUUCCGAAUGGGGAAACCUAUCUCGAUGCAGUCGAGAUGCCCGCCAGCUGAAUAUAUAGGCUGGUGAGGGGACAACCCGGUGAACUGAAACAUCUUAGUAACCGGAGGAAAAGAAAAAAAUAAAGAUCUCUUUUUCGGUAAGACAAUGCUUUGUCUUUCUGAAUAAGAGAUUACGAUUCCCUGAGUAGUGGCGAGCGAAAAGGGACGAGCCUAAACCUGUUUAACUGAAGAUAGUGAGCGGCUUGCCGUAAGCUGUCUGGAAGGAACCGAAACCAUAUGUUUUUCAGGUGUUGCAAGAUUAACGCGUUCGUUUUUCGGAUUAAGCGAGCUAUAUCAAAGCGAUUUAUUAGUUGAAACGAGCUGGAAAGCUCUGCAGGAAAGGGUGAUAGCCCCGUAAAUAAAAAUAAAUUGCUCUAUAGUGUGUUAAUUCUUAAGUAGGGCGGGACUCGUGAAAUCCCGUUUGAAUCUGGGUCGACUAUGACCCAAGGCUAAAUACUUCUUGAGAUCGAUAGUGAACAAGUACCGUGAGGGAAAGGUGAAAAGCAUCCCGGUGAGGGAGAUGAAAUAGUAUCUGAAACCGUAUACUUACAAGCAGUCGGAGCCUCGUUUACGGGGUGACGGCGUGCCUAUUGAAGAAUGAGCCAACGAGUUUGUUGUAUGUGGCAAGGUUAAUUCGUCCAAGACGAAGAAGCCGUAGUGAAAGCGAGGGUUAAUAGCCCGUUAAGUCGCAUGCACAAGACCCGAAGCCGGGUGAUCUAACCAUGGCCAGGUUGAACUUCGAUGAAAAUCGAAGGGAGGACCGAACCCGUGAGCUGUGCAAAACUCUGGGAUGAGUUGUGGUUAGGGCAGAAAUUGUAAUCGAACUCGGCUAUAGCUGGUUCUCCUCGAAAUAGCUUUUGGGCUAGCCUCGAGCGCUGAUCUUAGGGGGUAGAGCACUGAAUGAGGACGGGUUUUACCGUCCUUAACCAAACUCCGAAUACCUAAGAAAGAAGCUCGGGAGUCAGACUAUGGGCGCUAAGGUCCAUGAGUCGAAAGGAAAACAGUCCUGACCGCCAGCUAAGGUCCCUAAAUAUAUACUAAGUGUUAAAGGUGGUGUCGAGACACAGACAACUAGGAGGUUGGCUUAGAAGCAGCCAUCCUUUAAAGAAAGCGUAAUAGCUCACUAGUCAAGUCUUCUCGCGCCGAAAAUGUAUCGGGGCUAAGUAUAUUACCGAAGCUGCGGACUUCAUCGCAAGAUGGAGUGGUAGAGGAGCGUUCCUACAUCGCUGAAGUCGUGUCGUGAGGCACGGUGGAGAGGUAGGAAGUGAGAAUGUUGGCAUGAGUAGCAAAAAGGCGGGUGACAACCCCGCCCACCGAAAAUCCAAGGUUUCCUGGGCAACGAAAAUCGUCCCAGGGUUAGUCGAUCCUAAGGCGAGGCGUUUGUAAUGGGCGCGUAGUCGAUGGAAGAGCUGGUUAAUAUUCCAGCACUACUUUAAUUUUCUGAUGGGGAGACGAAGUCUCAAGGUUUAAGCGUGUAUUGGUUUGCGCGUUGUUAGCAGCAAGGAUUAGACCUGGUAAAUCCGGUCUUAUAUAUCUCAAGCUGUCGACUGAAGACAAAGCUUUCGGGCGGCGUCAAUUUAAGCUGCGUGAUUUCCAAGAAAAACCUCUAGGGCUAAGGUUAAAGUAUCCGUACCGUAAACCGACACAGGUAGAUGAGGCGAGAAGCCUAAGGUGAACGAGAGAAACUUCGUUAAGGAACUAGGCAAAAAAGCGGGCGUAAGUUAGCGAUAAGCCCUCCCCACGCAAGUGGGGCGCAGCGAAUGACUUUCAAGUGACUGUUUACCAAAAACAUAGCUCCCUGCUAACUCGAAAGAGGAUGUAUAGGGGGUGAUGCCUGGCCAGUGUCCGAACGUUAAGGGGAGAGGUUAGCCGCAAGGCGAAGCUUUGAACUGAAGCGCGGAUGAACGCCGGCCGUAACUAUAACGGUCCUAAGGUAGCGAAAUUCCUUGUCAGGUAAGUUCUGACCUGCACGAAUGGCAUAACAACUUGAAAACUGUCUCAACGAAGUACUCGGCGAAAUUACAAGACCUGUGAAGAUGCAGGUUAACCAUAGCUGGACGAAAAGACCCCGUGAAGCUUUACUACAACUUGAUAUUGAAUUAGGGAUGUGCAUGUUCAGGAUAGGUGGGAGGCCGCAAGGCCAACGGUGAGAUACCACCCUUGUAUAUUUUUAAUUCUAACCCAUCUCCGUGAAUCCGGAGAGGGGACAGUGUCUGGCGGGUAGUUUGUCUGGGGCGGAUGCCUCCCAAAAAGUAACGGAGGCGUUUACAAAGGUCGGCUAUCUCCCGAUGGAAACGGGAGAGAUAGUGUAAUGGCAUAAGCCGGCUUUACUGCAAGUCCUACAAGACGCGCAGUCGCGAAAGCGGAACAUAGUGAUCCGACCAUUCAAUGUAGGAUGGUGGAAGCUCAUCGGAUAAAAGCUACUCCGGGGAUAACAGGCUAGUCACGCCCAAGCGUCCACAGCGACGGCGUGGUUCGGCACCUCG
rnacentral:rRNA from 1 species